UACAGAGGUCUCAAGCGUUGUUCGGAUUCAUUGGGCGUAAAGGGUGCGUAGGUGGCGCCGUAAGUCCGGUGUGAAAUUUCGGAGCUUAACUCCGAAACUGCAUUUGAUACUGCGGUGCUUGAGGACUGGAGAGGAGACUGGAAUUUACGGUGUAGCAGUGAAAUGCGUAGAGAUCGUAAGGAAGACCAGUGGCGAAGGCGGCGACCUGGACAGAUAUUGACGCUGAGGUGCGAAAGCGUGGGGAGCAAACAGG
rnacentral:rRNA from 1 species